rnacentral:tRNA from 1 species
CGGGCAGUAGCUGAGUGGUAGAGCUCCCACUUCUUAUGCGGGAAGACCUGAGUUAGGUUCUCGGUUGCUUAC